rnacentral:rRNA from 1 species
GAUGAAUGCUGGCGGCGUGCCUAACACAUGCAAGUCGAGCGGUAACAGGGAUAGUUUACUAUCUGCUGACGAGCGGCGGACGGCUGAGUAACGCGUGGGAACGUGCCCCAAAGUGAGGGAUAAGCACCAGAAAUGGUGUCUAAUACCGCAUAUGGUCUUCGGAUUAAAGUAUUUAUACGCUUUGGGAGCGGCCCGCGUCUGAUUAGAUUGUUGGUGAGGUAAAGGCUCACCAAGUCGACGAUCAGUAGCUGGUCUGAGAGGAUGAUCAGCCAGACUGGAACUGAGACACGGUCCAGACUCCUACGGGAGGCAGCAGUGGGGAAUCUUAGACAAUGGGGGCAACCCUGAUCUAGCCAUGCCGCGUGAGUGAUGAAGGCCUUAGGGUUGUAAAGCUCUUUCAGCUGGGAAGAUAAUGACGGUACCAGCAGAAGAAGCCCCGGCUAACUCCGUGCCAGCAGCCGC